AGGUUUGGAAAUUUGAAACCAAGAUGGUGAUCAGUCGUCAUCUGUAGAGAGAACAGAUGGAUGACAUUUAAAAAUUGCUGUUCUAACAAGAAGGUGCACCUUAACAUUUGAUUCAAUGGUGUUCUGUCUUAAAAGAAGAAGUCCUGCUGAACUUGGUCUGAUGCUUUUAAAAACAACAGUGCCAGCAUCAGCUCAGCCGGUGGCAUUUUGUCUUCAGAGUUCAAAGGUCGUGAGUACAAGAGAUUUGAACAUAAAAAUCAAAGUUCAUACUCCAGUGAAGUACUGAGGGAGCACUGCGGAGAUGUAUCUUUUGGGUGAGACCUGAGAUUCAUCUGCAGCUCUGAGCACUUUUGUUUAAAAGUGAGAUUAUUUUGUUUGGGAAGCUCAAGACAUAACAUAAUGGAUGUGGGUGUCCAUGACUGUCAAGCAUGUGAAGUGAACUUGAAGCAGAUAUAGAUUAAAAGAAGAAUCAACCUGUAUUAUGGAGAGA